GGCUUAAACUCAAAGGAAUUGACGGGGACCCGCACAAGCGGUGGAUGAUGUGGAUUAAUUCGAUGCAACGCGAAAAACCUUACCUACCCUUGACAUGCCAGGAACUUGCCAGAGAUGGCUUGGUGCCCGAAAGGGAGCCUGGACACAGGUGCUGCAUGGCUGUCGUCAGCUCGUGUCGUGAGAUGUUGGGUUAAGUCCCGCAACGAGCGCAACCCUUGUCACUAAUUGCCAUCAUUUGGUUGGGCACUUUAGUGAGACUGCCGGUGACAAACCGGAGGAAGGUGGGGAUGACGUCAAGUCCUCAUGGCCCUUAUGGGUAGGGCUUCACACGUCAUACAAUGGUCGGUACAGAGGGUUGCCAAGCCGCGAGGUGGAGCCAAUCCCUUAAAGCCGAUCGUAGUCCGGAUUGCAGUCUGCAACUCGACUGCAUGAAGUCGGAAUCGCUAGUAAUCGCGGAUCAGCAUGUCGCGGUGAAUACGUUCCCGGGUCUUGUACACACCGCCCGUCACACCAUGGGAGUGGGUUCUGCCAGAAGUAGGUAGCUUAACCGCAAGGAGGGCGCUUACCACGGCAGGGUUCAUGACUGGGGUGAAGUCGUAACAAGGUAGCCGUAGGGGAACCUGCGGCUGGAUCACCUCCU
rnacentral:rRNA from 1 species